AUGCCGGCCGCCGCCACGGCGAGCAGCGCGCUGAGCAUGAAGCUGCUGGUGGACACCAAGGCGCAGCGCGUGCUGUUCGCGGAGGCGAGCAAGGACGUGGUGGACUUCCUCUUCUCCCUCCUCGCCCUGCCGGUCGGCACCGCCGUGAAGCUGCUCGGGAAGGACUCCAUGGUGGGCUGCGUCGGCAACCUCUACGGGAGCGUGGAGAAGCUUCAGGAGAAGACCGUGCAGCUCGGCUACAAGGAGGGUCUGGCGAUUCUCAGGGCGUCGCUGCAGUCCAAGACCGUCCUCACCGACGUCUUCCUCGCCAACAAGCAGCUCCCCGGCCGCGCUUGA
rnacentral:rRNA from 1 species